rnacentral:rRNA from 1 species
AGAGUUUGAUCCUGGCUCAGGAUGAACGCUGGCGGCGUGCUUAACACAUGCAAGUCGAGCGCGGUCCCUUUGGUGCUUGCACCAAAGAAGACUGAGCGGCGGACGGGUGAGUAACGCGUGGGUAACCUGCCCUAUACACAUGGAUAACAUGCUGAAAAGCAUACUAAUACAUGAUAACGUACACUGAUGGCAUCUUCGGUGUAUCAAAGCGUUAGCGGUAUAGGAUGGACCCGCGUCUGAUUAGCUAGUUGGUGGGGUAAAAGCCUACCAAGGCCACGAUCAGUAGCCGACCUGAGAGGGUGAUCGGCCACAUUGGAACUGAGACACGGUCCAAACUCCUACGGGAGGCAGCAGUGGGGAAUAUUGCACAAUGGGCGAAAGCCUGAUGCAGCAACGCCGCGUGAACGAUGAAGGUCUUCGGAUCGUAAAGUUCUGUCGCAGGGGAAGAUAAUGACGNACCCCUGGAGGAGCNCCGGC